CACGUAGGCGCAAGCGUUGUCCGGAAUUAUUGGGCGUAAAGAGCGCGUAGGCGGUCCGAUAAGUCGGCUGUGAAAGUCAGGGGCUCAACCCUUGAAAGCCGGCCGAUACUGUCGGACUAGAGUCCGGAAGAGGCAAGUGGAAUUCCCGGUGUAGCGGUGAAAUGCGCAGAUAUCGGGAGGAACACCAAUGGCGAAGGCAGCUUGCUGGGACGGUACUGACGCUGAGGCGCGAAAGCGUGGGGAGCAAACAGG
rnacentral:rRNA from 1 species